rnacentral:tRNA from 1 species
AAGAAAGGGAAGGGGAGGGAUUCAAACC